AUCAGGCACAACCAACCUUGGCCCAUGACACCUUGCUUAGCCACACCCUCAAGGGACUUCAGCAGUGAUAAACAUUAAGCUAUAAGUGAAAACUUGACUUAGUUAAAGCUAAAAGAGCCGGUAAAACUCGUGCCAGCCACCGCGGUUAUACGAGAGGCUCAAGUUGACAGACAACGGCGUAAAGAGUGGUUAAGGAAUCCAUUAAACUAAAGCCGAACGCCCUCAGAACUGUUAUACGUUUCCGAAGGUAAGAAGCCCCACCACGAAAGUGACUUUACUCCCCCUGACCCCACGAAAGCUGCGAAACAAACUGGGAUUAGAUACCCCAUUAUGCCCAGCCCUAAACUUUGAUAGACCAUUACACCCACUAUCCGCCAGGGUACUACGAGCAUUAGCUUAAAACCCAAAGGACUUGGCGGUGCUUUACAUCCACCUAGAGGAGCCUGUUCUAGAACCGAUAACCCCCGUUAAACCUCACCCUCCCUUGUUUUUUCC
rnacentral:rRNA from 1 species